rnacentral:rRNA from 1 species
GAUGAACGCUGGCGGCGUGCUUAAUACAUGCAAGUCGAGCGAACAGACGAGGAGCUUGCUCCUCUGACGUUAGCGGCGGACGGGUGAGUAACACGUGGAUAACCUACCUAUAAGACUGGGAUAACUUCGGGAAACCGGAGAUAAUACCGGAUAACAUGUUGAACCGCAUGGUUCAACAGUGAAAGACGGUCUUUCUGUCACUUAUCGAUGGAUCCGCGCCGCAUUAGCUAGUUGGUAAGGUAACGGCUUACCAAGGCAGCGAUGCGUAGCCGACCUGAGAGGGUGAUCGGCCACACUGGAAGUGAGCCACGGUCCAGACUCCUACGGGAGGCAGCAGUAGGGAAUCUUCCGCAAUGGGCGAAAGCCUGACGGAGCAACGCCGCGUGAGUGAAGAAGGUCUUCGGAUCGUAAAACUCUGUUAUUAGGGAAGAACAAAUGUGUAAGUAACUAUGCACGUCUUGACGGUACCUAAUCAGAAAGCCACGGCUAACUACGUG